rnacentral:sRNA from 1 species
GAGCAGCAGCAGUGUGAGCGACUCUGACGAGCGGGGCAGCAUGCAGAGCCUCGGCAGUGAUGAGGGCUAUUCCAGCACCAGCAUCAAGAGAAUAAAGCUGCAGGACAGUCACAAGGCGUGUCUUGGUCUCUAAGAGAGUGGGCACUGCGGCUGUCUCCUUGAAGGUUCUCCCUGUUGGUUCUGAUUAGAAUUGGUGCUCUUGGAAUAUUGCUGUUACCAUCAUUUUUGGGGGGCCAUCUUCCUAAUGCUACACACAGCCUGACAGGGGAGCAGCAGAUGAAAGGGUAUGCUAUUCUGUUUCCAGAUGUUUCUUUAUGUAAAUAUGACGCCAAUGUAAAUCCUGUGUCAAGAUCAUAGAGAAUGGUGCUUUUUACUACAGUUAGCACAUGCAUUUUUAGAAACUACUACGUGUUUUAGAGAAUCUUUGCUGUGUAUAUGUAAACUGUAUUGUUCAACUGUUAACAAAUAAUAAAUUAUUUCAUUAUUAAAG